AAGUCGAACGAUGAAGCUUUUAGCUUGCUAAAAGUGGAUUAGUGGCGCACGGGUGAGUAAGGUAUAGUUAAUCUGCCCUUUGCUGGGGGACAACAUUUAGAAAUGAGUGCUAAUACCCCAUACUCCUACUUUACACAAGUUAAGUAGGGAAAGUUUUUCGGCAAAGGAUGAGACUAUAUAGUAUCAGCUAGUUGGUGAGGUAAUGGCUUACCAAGGCUAUGACGCUUAACUGGUCUGAGAGGAUGAUCAGUCACAUUGGAACUGAGACACGGUCCAAACUCCUACGGGAGGCAGCAGUAGGGAAUAUUGCGCAAUGGGCGAAAGCCUGACGCAGCAACGUCGCGUGGAGGAUGACACUUUUCGGAGCGUAAACUCCUUUUCUUUGGGAAGAAUUUUGACGGUACCAAAGGAAUAAGCACCGGCUAACUCCGUGCCAGCAGCCGCGGUAAUACGGAGGGUGCAAGCGUUACUCGGAAUCACUGGGCGUAAAGGGCGCGUAGGCGGACUAUCAAGUCUCUUGUGAAAUCUAGGAGCUUAACUCCUAAACUGCUUGGGAAACUGAUAGUCUAGAGUGAGGGAGAGGCAGAUGGAAUUGGUAGUGUAGGGGUAAAAUCCGUAGAUAUUACCAAGAAUACCCAUUGCGAAGGCGAUCUACUGGAACUCAACUGACGCUAAGGCGCGAAAGCGUGGGGAGCAAACAGGAUUAGAUACCCUGGUAGUCCACGCCCUAAACGAUGUAUGCUAGUUGUUGGGAUGCUAGUCAUCUCAGUAAUGCAGCUAACGCAUUAAGCAUACCGCCUGGGGAGUACGGUCGCAAGAUUAAAACUCAAAGGAAUAGACGGGGACCCGCACAAGCGGUGGAGCAUGUGGUUUAAUUCGAAGAUACGCGAAGAACCUUACCUGGGCUUGAUAUCCUAAGAAUCUUGUAGAGAUACGAGAGUGCUAGCUUGCUAGAACUUAGAGACAGGUGCUGCACGGCUGUCGUCAGCUCGUGUCGUGAGAUGUUGGGUUAAGUCCCGCAACGAGCGCAACCCACGUGUUUAGUUGCUAACAGUUAGGCUGAGCACUCUAAAUAGACUGCCUUCGUAAGGAGGAGGAAGGUGUGGACGACGUCAAGUCAUCAUGGCCCUUAUGCCCAGGGCGACACACGUGCUACAAUGGCAUAUACAAUGAGACGCAAUAGCGUGAGCUGGAGCAAAUCUAUAAAAUAUGUCUUAGUUCGGAUUGCUCUCUGCAACUCGAGAGCAUGAAGCCGGAAUCGCUAGUAAUCGUAGAUCAGCCAUGCUACGGUGAAUACGUUCCCGGGUCUUGUACUCACCGCCCGUCACACCAUGGGAGUUGAUUUCACUCGAAGAGGGGAUACUAAACUGGUUACUCUCCACAGUGGAAUCAGCGACUGGGGUGAAG
rnacentral:rRNA from 1 species